rnacentral:lncRNA from 1 species
GGUUGUACUUGUGUGUGUGUUUUAAUUUUAUCUAUUAUACCAUUAUUUAAAAAUGAAGUGCUUUCCAUGUGCUUAUUUAAAUAAACGUUCUUUUCGAAACAUUUUUUUCAUUCCGAUGGUCGUGUUUAGGAAGGGGUGAAAUCUCAUAAAUUCUUAUUAGCCUUCCAAUGUGCACUUAUGCCUCUGCAAAGUCAGGAACCUCGAUUGUAUUGCUG